AUUUAAAUAACUUAUUUUAAAGUGUGUCAUUGAAGAUGAUAAAAUGAUUUUUAAAAUCUUUAAAUA
rnacentral:tRNA from 1 species